rnacentral:rRNA from 1 species
GUGGGGAAUUUUGGACAAUGGGCGAAAGCCUGAUCCAGCAAUGCCGCGUGCAGGAUGAAGGCCCUCGGGUUGUAAACUGCUUUUGUACGAAACGAAAAGCCUGGGGCUAAUAUCCCCGGGUCAUGACGGUACCGUAAGAAUAAGCACCGGCUAACUACGUGCCAGCAGCCGCGGUAAUACGUAGGGUGCAAGCGUUAAUCGGAAUUACUGGGCGUAAAGCGUGCGCAGGCGGUUUUGUAAGACAGUGGUGAAAUCCCCGGGCUCAACCUGGGAACUGCAUUGGUGACUGCAAGGCUGGAGUGCGGCAGAGGGGGAUGGAAUUCCGCGUGUAGCAGUGAAAUGCGUAGAUAUGCGGAGGAACACCGAUGGCGAAGGCAAUCCCCUGGGCCUGCACUGACGCUCAUGCACGAAAGCGUGGGGAGCAAACAGGAUUAGAUACCCCUGUAGUCC